GAUGAAGAUGAUGAUGACGAUGAAGAGACCACAUCUGCUGUGACAGAAGUGGACAAUGCUGUACAUACCUAGGGAUUUGCCCACUGAUGAGGGUCCUUCAGCCUCAGCACACAAUCUAAGCAGGUUGCCAGCAAAGGAGCUGUAUAAGGUCCAUCUUCAAAAACAAAUAAGAAAAAGUGACAUGGAGAUGGACCUUAUACAGCUUCAAAUGGAAGAGAAAAGGC